rnacentral:rRNA from 1 species
AUUGAACGCUGGCGGCAGGCCUAACACAUGCAAGUCGAGCGAGCGGCGGACGGGUGAGUAAUGUAUGGGGACUGCCCGAUAGAGGGGGAUAACUACUGGAAACGGUGGCUAAUACCGCAUACUAUCGGAUAACCCAUAUGGGAUUAGCUAGUAGGUGGGGUAAAGGCUCACCUAGGCGACGAUCUCUAGCUGGUCUGAGAGGAUGAUCAGCCACACUGGGACUGAGACACGGCCCAGACUCCUACGGAGGCAGCAGUGGGGAAUAUUGCACAAUGGGCGAAAGCCUGAUGGAGCCAUGCCGCGUGAAUGAAGAAGGCUUUAGGGUUGUAAAGUACUUUCAGCAGGGAAGCGUUACCCGAAGAAGAAGCACCGGCUAACUACGUGCCAGCCGCCGCGGUAAUAC